rnacentral:rRNA from 1 species
AGAGUUUGAUCCUGGCUCAGAUUGAACGCUGGCGACAUGCCUUACACAUGCAAGUCGAACGGUAGCGGGCCUUCGGGUGCCGACGAGUGGCGAACGGGUGAGUAAUGUAUCGGAACGUACCAUUGAGUGGGGGAUAACGUAGCGAAAGUUACGCUAAUACCGCAUAUUCUCUCCGGAGGAAAGCAGGGGACCGCAAGGCCUUGCGCUCUUUGAGCGGCCGAUAUCAGAUUAGCUAGUUGGUGAGGUAAAGGCUCACCAAGGCGACGAUCUGUAGCGGGUCUGAGAGGAUGAUCCGCCACACUGGAACUGAGACACGGUCCAGACUCCUACGGGAGGCAGCAGUGGGGAAUUUUGGACAAUGGGGGCAACCCUGAUCCAGCCAUGCCGCGUGAGUGAAGAAGGCCUUCGGGUUGUAAAGCUCUUUCGGCCGGGAAGAAAUCGCAUGGGCUAAUACCCUGUGCGGAUGACGGUACCGGCAUAAGAAGCACCGGCUAACUACGUGCCAGCAGCCGCGGUAAUACGUAGGGUGCGAGCGUUAAUCGGAAUUACUGGGCGUAAAGCGUGCGCAGGCGGUUUUGUAAGACAGGCGUGAAAUCCCCGGGCUCAACCUGGGAACUGCGUUUGUGACUGCAAGGCUAGAGUACGGCAGAGGGGGGUGGAAUUCCACGUGUAGCAGUGAAAUGCGUAGAGAUGUGGAGGAACACCAAUGGCGAAGGCAGCCCCCUGGGUCGAUACUGACGCUCAUGCACGAAAGCGUGGGUAGCAAACAGGAUUAGAUACCCUGGUAGUCCACGCCCUAAACGAUGUCAACUAGGUGUUGGGUGGGUAAAACCAUUUAGUACCGGAGCUAACGCGUGAAGUUGACCGCCUGGGGAGUACGGCCGCAAGGUUAAAACUCAAAGGAAUUGACGG